GAUGAACGCUGGCGGCGUGCCUAACACAUGCAAGUCGAGCGAUCUUCUUCGGAAGAGAGCGGCGGACGGGUGAGUAACGCGUGGGUAACCUGCCCUGUACACACGGAUAACAUACCGAAAGGUAUGCUAAUACGGGAUAAUAUACUUUUAUCGCAUGGUAGAAGUAUCAAAGCUCCGGCGGUACAGGAUGGACCCGCGUCUGAUUAGCUAGUUGGUAAGGUAACGGCUUACCAAGGCGACGAUCAGUAGCCGACCUGAGAGGGUGAUCGGCCACAUUGGAACUGAGACACGGUCCAAACUCCUACGGGAGGCAGCAUG
rnacentral:rRNA from 1 species